UCCCCAUAGGCUCUUUUUGUGCAGCAUAGGGUGUGCCUUGCUUUCUGAUCAUUUGAAUAGCAAGUGUGAAUUUUAAUGCUUGUAUGCUGAGCCCCUAGGCAUGGGGCCACAGCCAGUUGCCUAAGACACUCAUGAAGCUAUGCCUAUGUUCCCACCUGGCCCAGGCUCCUGGCUACCUGUUGGGAUGCUGAGAACCUGUGGGGAAGUUUCCAUUUCAUUUUCACUUGGAUCCCAAACCUACAUUGUCGCAAUGGAGCAAAAAGUUAAUACAACGUUGAAUGCCUCCACUAAUUGUCUACCUUCUAUGAUGAGAGCUGUGCAAGGCAUCAAGGCUUUAGUUUCUGUGUAAGUUGAAUUCAGCUGACCAGACUAGAUAUAGAGAAGUAAAUGACCUUACUUGGAUUCCUCCAUGACCUCCCACAGCAAUGAUCAUCAAUAAGGUAGUUAUAAAUGUAUUAGACUGGAAUAGGUGAAUGGGAUUGUACCAUUUAUCUUUUGUGGUCAAAAUGUGAAAAAUGUCUCCCCUAAGCUGUUCCAUUUACUCCCAAAUCUCAGCAAAUAAGCAACUGUCAAAGUGCAGACGACCAGAGACUGGGUAAUUGCAGGCGACUGACUGACCAGUGUGGUGAUCAAAGUCUCACUCCUAAAUUCUGGAUAAUUUUAGGAACUCUUAGGCCUCCUUAGGGGAAGUGGGUACUAAGAAAUUCUGAAUUACCUGGGCUUUAGGGAAUUUCCUAGAACCGUGGCCAACAGUAAGAUGGUGCUACCCUGAUCUGUGCAUUCAGGACACUGAUUCAUCUUCACCAUUCUAGACCCGGAGAUUGGUCUACUUGCUUUACUGCACAGAUCCUGACCCCCUCUGCCCUAAAUUCCCCUAUCUGGAUUAGUUUUGAAAGCUCUAGGGUUAGUCUAGUCUUUCUGGGGAAUGUUGAGGGCUGUUGUGCCUCACAGUGGCAAUGUGGUUUAAUCAGCUAAAUUAAACCAAGCUAACAACUGUUUCCUGAGCACCCAUUAUGAGCAAGGCUAUAUGCACAUCUCUCACUCUUGUCAGAGACAAGUACAGAAAAAAGUGGAAAGAAAUGGGGACACAUCCUUGGAAAGGGUUGAAUUGUCAGUAUUAGAGUUUUUACUUAUUUAGCACAUGAUUUAUUUAGCACCUACUAUGUGUCAAGGACUUUCAAUUGUGAUUGCAUUGAACAACACUGCCAGGUGAGUGGUACUCUGUCUCUCUAUACAACUGGAUUUCAGACAGGUGAGGUGUCUUGCCUGCAUUCACAUGGCUAAUAUGUGGCAGAAUUGGAAUGUAAGGAGAUCUAACUCCAAAAUGGACUAUAGUAUAUUAUAAUGAUUCUCAACCUCCAUCAGACUCUGUCUAGGAAAUAAACUGUGAAGCUACACCUGAAACCACCAAACCCAUCUCAAACUCAAUGAUCUUUUACAUUUUACCUCUAUUUUUGUUGUUGUUGUAGCUUUUCUGGGGUUGUGCUGGUUAUACCAACCUUAUCUCAGCUACCUGAAGGAUUGUCGUGCUGGAGAAGACGUGUGGAGACCCACCUGACCAAAGCUCAACUUCAUGAACAUAAGAGCUGGAGGAACUGCCUCUCAGACUGUCCAGCUUGCUCAGAAAAGUGGCCUUCCUUUGGCUGGGAGAUGGGACACUAAGCAGAAGGCCAGAGAGGUACUGUUCAAAGAGUGAGCGGUCACCCUGUCCUAGCAUCCAGGCCAUCUUGUCCUGGGGCCCAAGCCUCCUGGCUCACCAUUCAGCACUCCUGAUGAAGAAAUUGAAGCCCAGAAAAAUUAAGUAACUUGUCCAAAUCCAAACAGAUGAGUUAAAAUCAUGAUGACUGUUUAGUGGCUUGAAGACAUUUUGUGUAACAUUUCAGCUUCAAUAAGAAGACGGGAGCUUGGUGCAAGGAUGUUUUACUGGGAGCCUACAGUGGAGCUCAGAAAGUCAUGUUCCGGCUGGACGCAGUGGCUUAUGCCUACAAUCCCAGCACUUUGGGAGGCCAAGGCAGGUGGAUUGCUUGAGCUCAGGAGUUCAAGACCAGCCUGGGCGACAUGGUGAAACUCCAUCUCUGCAAAAAGUACAAAAAAUUAGCCAGGUGUCAUGAGGUGCAACUGUGGUCCCAGCUACUUGAUGGGCUGAGGCAGGAGAAUCCCUUGAGCCCAGGAGGUUGAGGCUGCAGUGAGCCGUGUUGGAGUGAGACCCUGUCUCAAAAAAAAAAAAAAAAAAAAAAAGAAGUCAUGUUUGAAUAUUCCUUUGGGGCUUUUGUUUCCUCAUGUUUGCUCUCAAAACAUCAGAAUGCCACAGAAGUUUGUUAAUUCUCUGGAUCAAUUGAGGAAGGAAAAGCAUCAGCACCUCCUCAAGAAUGCCAUAGGAGGUGUGUGCUGGGAUGCUCUGAGCUCUGCAGCAGUGAUGCAUGCAGCUGGAGAUGUUGAAGGUCAGAUGCAGGUGGUCAAGCAUUUUAGUUUCCUGUGGCUACUGUAAUAACUAAAGUGGCUGAAAACAACAGGAAUUCAUUAUCUUACAGUUCUGGAGACAAGAAGUCCAAAAUCACUUUCACUGAACUAGAAUUGAGGUGGUGGCAGGACCUUGGUCCUUCUGAAGGCUCUGGGGGUGAAUCUGCUCUGUGCCUCUCCCAGGUUCCAGAGGCUGCCAGCAUUCCUGGGCCUGUGGCAACAUCACUCCACUCUGUGCCUCCAUGGCCUCAUUAUCUCCUCCUUUUCUGUCUGUAUCAAAUUUCUCCCUGCCUCCCUCUUAUAAGGCACAUGUGAUUGCAUUUAGGGCCCAUGCAGGUAAUCCAAGAUGAUCUUCCCAUGUAUAAUUAUUUGCUUAAUCCACAUCCGCAAAGAGCCAUUUUCCUUAGAAGGUGACAUUUACAGCUUCCAGGGAUUAGAACCUGACAUCUCAGUAAGCCAUUAUUGAGCCUAUCAUACUGAGCCUAGAUCCCUCCUGUUGGCCUCAUAUAUUCAUGGAGGACAAAGGAAAAGGCUAAAGGCCAGAGACCAGCAGAAGAGUGCAUUCUUGCUUUCCAGAUUCGGGUGAACUGUCAUAAUCAGUGUCUGGCAGAACAAAAGACUGAGGGAAAAAGUUGAAGCAAUGCAAAGCCCCAGAGUGACCACAAUGGCAUGAUUACUGCUGAGUUUGUUUAUGAGAGGAAAGAAAGCAGCCAUGUUGGAAAGCCUUGGGCGGUUUUCAUAUCCUGGAAGUUAUGUAGAAAUAGCUGGAGAGGAAUGCAUCAUUCAGGAGUGUAAAACAAUUUCUUGUUUAAACAGACCCCAAGGCUUGAGUGGUUAAAAAAAUUCCUCCCAGAGAGUGGAAAUGAAAAAAGCCCUUCAAAAGGUUAUUAAUGUGGCCACUUGCAGACAAGGGAACACAUCACGCGGAGUCUCUUGCUGAUUUUACCCCAUGGAGACUGGUUGUGGAUGACGAACGAUAAAAUGGAAGCAUCCAGCAGUGGUAACUUAAUGUUGUGGUGGGGAAUAGUUUUCUUUCCUGACCUCAUUUGUAAGAAGGGAAUGGAGGAGGAUGAAGAUGCCUCAUUAGUGGAAACUAUACACUCCUGUCUAUUCACUUGCUGUAGAUGAAAGAACACUCCAAGAUACUGCUCCAAAAGGAACAUUAGCCAAACUAGAUCUUCUCUUGUAAAUUUCAGAGGCAUCUGUAGACAUGGGUGACAGGGAAGCCUCCAAGCGAUCAACUUCCCUGCCUUUCCAACACCUGAAAAGUGGCCCUGAGGUUUUCCAUUGAGGUUUUCCAAAUACAGGUUGCCAGUGCUUCUGAGUGUGCCCUGAGCCCUGGUGGUUGUUUUUAGGAUAGAAAAUACUUUUCUCUUACAUGGCCACCUGCCCUCUCUCCAGGUUCUGGGGCUUCCUGAAGGCCCAACUGCCUUACCUCUUUUCUCCUCCUCAACCAUCAUACAUUAUUCUUAUGACGAAGUAUGUUCCAGAAAUGGUGUUCAGACAAAAAUUGUGACCAGGUUCGGUUAUCCAACACAACACUGAAAGCUGCUGAUUCUAGAAUAGAGGUGAUUAGGAUGAUCAUUUAUUUGGCAAUGUUAUGAUCAAAGAUGAAUGAGUAGACUAGAAACUGUUUAAAUGGCUUCUUCAGCACCCUCAAGUCAAUGACUUAGAGCUUCUAUCCUGUGUGCUGUGGGUCACUAAAAUCUCUCCAUCACCUGCCAGUUCCAUUCUGUUAAAUGUAUAUUAACAACUUUGGUAUAUCUUGUUAAGGGCUCUGCAGCAGAGCAAUCCCUCUUACUAAACUGUUGGAGCACACCAUUGCAUACACAUUUUUUCCCCUUUGCCAAAGGCAACUCUAUCUAGGACAACUCCAUUCCAUCCAUUCCAGGGCAUGAUGCAUAGCAAAACGGAGCAGUCCUGUGACUCCAUGCCCUGUCAGUGACAGCUCCAGACAAGACCAGACUCAUGGACAUGGUGGUGUUUGACCCUUUAUUUCUCCCAGGGCUGCACUGUGGAAAUAUUAUUCCUAUUCUAUCACAUAAAUGCCUUUUUAUCACUGCCUUUUCAAAUAACCAAGUAAUUGAAGUGCAGUUGUCUCCCACAUUAUGUAGGACAUUUUUACUAGCCUUGAUUAUAUUUCCAUUAGACUUGGUGUAGCUGACUUAGUAACUAGGCCUAGGACAGCAGUGAUGGAUUUGUCUGAUGGUCAGUCAUUGAGUGUGAACUCAUUGAAACCUUCCAAAUAUUUGAAAUUUUUCUAGAUUCAGUUUGGACUCGAUGUUUGCAAUGAAGCCAUCUUUUAAAUUCCCUGCCCUAAAGUGACCUUUUACUCUAUGAACAACUCAUGCUCAACAGGGCAGAGACAUAGUGUGACUUCCUCUCUUCUCUACAGCAGCAUAUUUACCUGCGAGAAUGCCAAAGAACAGGCAAAUUUCUGCCCAGUAGAGUGAUUUUCAGUUGAUCAGAUUCAGUGGGGACACAUAUACCUCCUCAUGGGAGAAACAGUGAUGUCUCUGGAGGAGUGUUCACAGAGUAAAAAAGUAUAUUCAACAUAAUUAAUUUUUUCUCAAAAUAAAUAGCAAGAAGUAGAGGCUUUCCAAAUCUCCUAGAUGAUAAGGGAUCAUGGAUAACAGAAAAUAGAGUGGGAAAAUGUUAUGGGACAGAGCGACCGUAUGUUCAUGUGUCCCAGUUUAUACCAGUUGUUCAGGAAUCAUUAUUUAUAGCACCCCUUUUAUUCUUCAAGUAUUUGUUUAGACAUUAAAUUAUAUGAUUACCCUAGUUAAACAGAGCUUGGGAAGUACUCAUCUGAUAGGAUCUCCAAAAAAGUUCCCGUGGAGUCCAUUUUUGCAUUGCUGUAAAGAAUACCUGAGAGUGGGUAAUUUAUAAAGGAAAGAGGUUGAUUUGACUCACAGUUCUUCAGAUUGUACAAGUCUGGCACCAGCAUCUAUUCAGCUUCUGGUGAGACCUUAGGAAGAUUUUUCUCACAGAAGAAGGAAAAGGGGCAGCAGGCACAUCACAUGAUGAGGGAGAGAGAGAGGGAGAGGAAGCAAGAGAGAGAGAGGAGGGGUGUCAGAUUCUUUUAAACAACCAGCUCUCCUGUGAACUAAUAGAGUGAGGACUCACUCAUUACCACAAGGGCAGUACCAAGCAAUUCAUGAGGGAUCUACUCCAAUGACCCAAACACCACCUAUCAGGCCAACUUCUGACAUUGGAGGUCACAUAUCAACAUGGGGUUUGGAGGGGACACAUGUCCAAACCAUAUUAGCUCCUAAAGUUGUCCUCAAAUUCAAGGUGCAAUGUUUGAGAAGAGAGUUUGUGUUAGCAGAAUGGCUUCCCAGCAAAAUAAGUUUUGGUCAUGCAUGUUUUACAGGAGAGAUCAACUGUGUUUGGAAGAGAUCAGAUAGUGUUUAUGAGCACACUGCAUGCCAUAAUUCUGAAGAAUCCAGAGGUAAAAGGUAUUUUACAAGAAACAAAUAUAGUUCUUGUAAUGGAAGCAUUUAGAUGUCACUAUGAAGAGGAGUGAUGGAAAUUCAUAGCAAAUAUAAGGUAGGAAUAGAAAUGCUCAAAAAAUCUAUUAGGUGCUUUUUUUUUCCUGACACUUUGGAUAUCUCCUCUUUAAUAAUGUUCUUAAUUACCAUUGUCUUUAUAUUGUACAAGGUAGACAAGUUGAUUCUAACUUGGUUCUGGCUUCCUUCUUCUGCAAAGAGAGAGAGAAAUAGCUGAAGGUGAAGCCUUGUAGGUUUGUUGCUCCUACGUUCAUUUGGGUCACACGGUGGCUUCUCUCUUGAUUAUGUGGAGGGCUUGGAUUCUUCUAGCCCAAAUAAAACUUGGCCACAUACCUUUGCUCAACAUGCACUGACCUGGGGGAACAAUAUGUUGUAACACAAGUUGCAAUUAGUCAUUAUUUUUUCAGUUCCUGUGUGAGAAACUAUGAUUUUAACAACCAAAACAACAACAGCAGCACCAAAACAAGAUAAAUGUGUGUAGCAAAUUUCCUUAAAUGAGCAUUGCCAGUAUAUUUUUCUCUUGCUAAAUAACCUCCUCCUGGAUCUCAACAUAUUAUUCCCCGCCCUCCCUCAUUUAAUUCAGAAAUAAGGGACAACCCUUCCGCAGCAGCUGUCCAGAGACCACCACAGCCUGUGAGAGUCUCCAGUGGACAACGGUUGUCUGAUUGAGACUCUUCCUGGUGUGCUCAGAAAAACCUGUACUUUUUUUGUUUCAAUUAGUUUUAUAGACAUUUCAAGCUGGGGCCUGCAUUUUUUUGUGGUAAGCUCACCCCUCAGCACUCCCCAUGGGGCUCACUAACCUUGGCUACCUUCAUCGUUUAUGGGAGUUGAGCUGUGCAUGCUUGAGACUGCCAUUUGUUUCUUCUUGCAUUGAAAUAACUUGCUUUUCUCUUUCAGCAACCCUGGGGUUCAACAAUUUGAAACUGCUUCACACCAAGAGCAGAGAAACUCGCUCUGUGGUUAUCACCUCAGAGAGACACAAUACCCAAAACCUGAGAACAUUCGCCUUGUUUUGUUGGAGUCAACACAUCUGCCAGGUUAUCUGUCUUCAGUCAACAUGGCUCAUAGAAAUCCAUGCUGAAUUAUUUUUUAGGAAGUUCGGUUUUGUUGACGAUGGAGUUAAAUGUUAUUCGUGUUAAAGUGAGUCUUUAAGAAGAUGGCCGGCUGUGUUUCUACAUAGUUUUGACAUCUGUCUUCAUUUCUCAUUUUUCCUCUAAGAUGUUCUGCACAUAUUUGUCAAUUUCUGUGGUCUGACUCAGAGCACAGGAAGUGUGGGUACUUCUGCUGGUGUCAAUCAUUGGGACUGGAUUAUGUCUAAGCAUCUUCAACCUCACAGGGAGGAGCUUGACCGGAGAAAGAGGCUGAGAACUGCUUCUCUUACCAAGGACCUUCCCCAAGCCAGGCAUCUCCGGAGAUGGUAUGGAGCCUGGGGUAGCUCGGCCAGGCCUUUGAUCACCAGCGAUGCCAUUGCUCUUCCCCGUUUCGCGUCUGCUGUGGCUUGCUGCUGAGGCUGCUUUCAGACCUCUGGAAUCAGAAAAGGAGGUGACUAUAUCAGGUAGCCCGCAUUUGCCUUUUGUAAGAAUACUUUUCAUGCUCGAUUCUUUAAAAUGGUUCCCCCAAAUAUACAUCACCUUGAUCCCUAUUCCAUGUACUAUACAUGACUAAAGUUUUUGCCCUUCAUCCCCACUCUAAAGGUGAUUUAUUUUUGUUGAUAACAAAUGAGAUAUUUUGGUUUGUCAUUAUCUACUUCAUAAAAAAACAGAAUGUUAUUACUAAUAAAUUUAAAUUCACAAUUUUAUUUCAUUUAAAAAAUGGCCCGUAUUCAGUAAAUCAUCAUAUUUCACUGAUGGAGGUAGCUGAGGGAUUAUCACGUCUAAUCCUUAAUUUUACAAAUGGGGAAACUGAGGCACAGUCUUUGUACAAGCUACUUCUCUCUCCCUUAGUGAGCUUGUCAAUUCUCUUCUAUGAAUUGCUUUUAGCUAAAGGAUUAGCAAGUAAAACUAUUUUUUUUUUUUUUUUUUUUUGCUGUGGCUCCAGAUGGGGUCCAAAGAGGAGUUUCACAGUCUCUUCUGUCUCUUCUCUGGGUUUUAUGGAGACUUACUUUAAUUUACCCUUAUGUGUUAGCCUCUUACGAAACUGCGUCUACCUUAAAAGGGCACAGGAAAGGGUGAAAAGUAUUUUUAAAAGGCUAAAUAACCACAUAGAAGUCAUGUAAGUUGACGCAUGAGCCGGCGAAUGGAAUGAUGAUGUGGCCUUGGAGGCCUGAUGGGUCCUCCCGUUGGCAUGGUCCCUUCUGCUACUGGCGCUCCUGUGCCUGCAAUCCAAACAUCUGGGGCCUGGCCAAGGGGAUACCGGGGGCUCGAGGAACAUGAGGAGCUAAGAGGUGACCUGGGGUCCCGGACAGGCAGGCAAUGAGGAUGUGUGGAGUUGAGUACACGUCAGGGUGGGGGACUGACUGCCCAUAAUACAUUUAAAAUGGUGCAUUUCAAUUGGUGUUUGCCAAUUCCUAGUUGUGGCUGUUUGGGGGAGGCUCAAGAAAAUGUUUUCACAGCCCUUGGGGAUCCUGUAAUGAGAAUCAUGUGUAAACGGAACGUUGACGAAGCCACACCUGGGGCACAUUGGACCCACGACAGACACUGAUGUGGGAAAAGAGCCGGUACCUUUUGAACCUGACCCAUUUUAUGAGAAGAUGCAUAUCAAAACAAACAAACAAAGCAACAACAAGAACACUGUGGAGUCUAAGAUUGAGGUGUGGUGUCUUGAACAAAAGACAAAAGACUCAGCCACGCUUAUGCUAAGAAGGAGAGCCAGGGAAAGAAAAUGCUGCAGUCGCAGUCAGAAGGAAAAGACUGUUUCACUUUGGCUUCAUGUGCAUCCCCCAGAGGGACUAUCAUGUUACUUUCAAAAUGACUGCAUAGCAGAUGAAAAAUGAUUCUCAUCUGCCUAUGGCUGCUGGGAGGUGGAGUGCAGUGCGGGACUCCUAUGGGGAUAUUUGUGGCUCCUCACGUCUCCUGGACCCAGGGUACCAGGACAGUGGACAUAAGGGACAAUAAAGCUUAUUUGAACAAAAA